GUACAAUUACAGAUUGCAGAGCUUAUCUUAAACAACUGUCCUGUGACUCUGUCUGUGGAUGAGGCAGCUAUCAGUUGCGCACGCUCUGAAAUGGCCUUCAGACUUAUUCAAGAUUCAGACAACCUAACAGACCUCUGCCACAUGUGUGGUGAAAAAAACGUAACGGAGGGGAACUCUGGGGAGGCAGACACCUCAACAGUGGACCACUGGAUUGAAUGCUCAGCAUGUGGCCGGUGGUACCACGUGGUGCAUGGGGUGGCCAGACACCACCCAGGAUUUCUACUGUCCAGCUUGUCAGUAAUUUAUUUAUAUCCCUCCUCUGUUUAUUCUUGUUUUAAGUGGCAUCCCUCCCAGAAAAAAACAGUAGAAGAUGAUUAUUUUGUGUGUCUGUCUCAGCUUAGUGUUGCUCAACUAGCCUAACUGCUCUACAUAGAGGUUUGUCUUCCUGCCAUUGACACUUCUGACAUGUUUUGGAGCAAUACACUGUGGCUGAACACCCUGCACAUAUCUUGAGCUGUUUGCCUAUGCCCUCCUGCUGUAGGCAGUAGUGGC